rnacentral:snoRNA from 1 species
UGAUGAGACGUCUCCGGAAUCGCUGUACCCCGUUGAUGAUUCCCUUGAACCCUUGGCUGUCUGAUGAYUGCAGUUGCGUGGAA